rnacentral:rRNA from 1 species
UACAGAGGGUGCGAGCGUUGUCCGGAAUCACUGGGCGUAAAGGGCGCGUAGGUGGUGGCUUAAGCGUGCGGUGAAAGCUCGGGGCUCAACUCCGAGUCGGCCGUGCGAACUGGGCUCACUGGAGCAUAGUAGAGGCAGGUGGAAUUCCGGGUGUAGCGGUGGAAUGCGCAGAUAUCAGGAGGAACACCGGUGGCGAAGGCGGGUCUCUGGGCAGUAACUGACGCUGAGGAGCGAAAGCGUGGGGAGCGAACAGG